rnacentral:rRNA from 1 species
AGGGAAGCAGCCCUGUGAAGGUGAGCAAAUCCCAAAAAGGCGUCUCAGUUCGGAUUGCAGGCUGCAACUCGCCUGUAUGAAGUCGGAAUUGCUAGUAAUCGCGGAUCAGCAUGCCGCGGUGAAUACGUUCCCGGGCCUUGUACACACCGCCCGUCACACCAUGAGAGCCGGAACACCCGAAGUCCGUAGUCUAACCGCAAGGAGGACGCGGCCGAAGGUGGGUUUGGUAAUUGGGGUGAAGUCGUAACAAGGUACC